AACGAACGCUGGCGGCAUGCCUAACACAUGCAAGUCGAACGAGAUCUUCGGGUCUAGUGGCGCACGGGUGCGUAACGCGUGGGAAUCUGCCCUUUGGUUCGGAAUAACAGUUGGAAACGACUGCUAAUACCGGAUGAUGACGAAAGUCCAAAGAUUUAUCGCCAGAGGAUGAGCCCGCGUAGGAUUAGCUAGUUGGUGUGGUAAAGGCGCACCAAGGCGACGAUCCUUAGCUGGUCUGAGAGGAUGAUCAGCCACACUGGGACUGAGACACGGCCCAGACUCCUACGGGAGGCAGCAGUGGGGAAUAUUGGACAAUGGGCGAAAGCCUGAUCCAGCAAUGCCGCGUGAGUGAUGAAGGCCUUAGGGUUGUAAGCUCUUUUACCCGGGAUGAUAAUGACAGUACCGGGAGAAUAAGCUCCGGCUAACUCCGUGCCAGCCGCCGCAGUAAAAC
rnacentral:rRNA from 1 species